rnacentral:rRNA from 1 species
UGCGAAUGGCUCAUUAAAUCAGCUAUGGUUCCUUAGAUCGUACAUACUACAUGGAUAACUGUAGUAAUUCUAGAGCUAAUACAUGCCACUAUGCCCUGACCCGCAAGGGGAUGGGUGGAUUUAUUAGAACAGAACCAACCAGGGAUAGUUUCGGCUAUCCCUGUUGUACUCUGUGAUGACUNUGGAUAACUUCACUGAUCGCAGUCGGCCUUGUGUCGGCGACGGAUCUUUCAAAUAUCUGCCCUAUCAACUGUCGAUGGUAGGUGACCUGCCUACCAUGGUGAUAACGGGUAACGGGGAAUCAGGGUUCGAUUCCGGAGAGGGAGCCUGAGAAACGGCUACCACUUCCAAGGAAGGCAGCAGGCGCGAAAAUUACCCACUCCCGGCACGGGGAGGUAGUGACGAAAAAUACGAAUACGGGACUCAAUCGAGGCUCCGUAAUUCGAAUGAGUACACUUUAAAUCCUUUAACGAGGACCAAUUGGAGGGCAAGUCUGGUGCCAGCAGCCGCGGUAACUCCAGCUCCAAAAGCGUAUAUUAAAGUUGCUGCAGUUAAAAAGCUCGUAGUUGGAUCUGGGUUGUGUGGUCACAUACCGUUGCUCGUUCUACUGUCUUUGAUUACGAUCAAGACGGGAGUUCGGGUCGGUGUAGUGACCGUGCAACCUUUCAGUCGUGUCUGUGUAAACAGGUGUUAGCUUGGUCAAUAGGUUCGCCCUAUUGGCCUGCUAGCAUGCUUCCGGAUGCCUUUAAACGGGUGUCGGGGGCAGACGACACUUUUACUUUGAACAAAUUUGAGUGCUCAAAGCAGGCUUGUAUGCCUGAAAAUUCUUGCAUGGAAUAAUGGAAUAGGACUUCGGUUCUAUUUUGUUGGUUUUCGGAUCCGAAGUAAUGGUUAAGAGGGACAGACGGGGGCAUUUGUAUGGCGGUGUUAGAGGUGAAAUUCUUGGAUCGCCGCCAGACAAACUACAGCGAAAGCAUUUGCCAAGAAUGUUUUCAUUGAUCAGGAGCGAAAGUCAGAGGAUCGAAGACGAUCAGAUACCGUCCUAGUUUUGACCAUAAACGAUGCCAACUGACGAUCCGCGGUGGUUCUUUAAUUGGCUCCGCGGGCAGUCCCCGGGAAACCCUUAAGUCUUUGGGCUCCGGGGGAAGUAUGGUUGCAAAGCUGAAACUUAAAGGAAUUGACGGAAGGGCACCACCAGGAGUGGAGCCUGCGGCUUAAUUCGACUCAACACGGGAAAACUCACCCGGCCCGGACACUGUGAGGAUUGACAGAUUGAUAGCUCUUUCUUGAUUCGGUGGUUGGUGGUGCAUGGCCGUUCUUAGUUGGUGGAGCGAUUUGUCUGGUUAAUUCCGAUAACGAACGAGACUUUGACCUACUAAAUAGUUCGCCUGUCCUCUGUGCUCGUGCAGAUUGCGGCUUCUACUGCCUCUUCGAGGGGUGAUAGGGUCGUUAAUCGGCGGGUACGGUGCAGGUGUUAACUUCUUAGAGGGACAAGCGGCACACAAGUCGCACGAAAUUGAGCAAUAACAGGUCUGUGAUGCCCUUACAUGUCCGGGGCCGCACGUGCGCUACAAUGACGGUGUCAGCGAGUCUGGAAACCUGGCCCGAAAGGGUUGGGCAAACUGUUCCAUCACCGUCGUGACUGGGAUCGGGGCUUGCAAUUAUUCCCCGUGAACGAGGAAUUCCUGGUAAGUGCAAGUCAUAAGCUUGCGCUGAUUACGUCCCUGCCCUUUGUACACACCGCCCGUYGCUACUACCGAUUGAAUGGUUUASCAAGGUCCUCGGAUUGGUACCGUUGUAGUGGCUUUUGUCACUCGACCGUUGCCGAGAAGACGACCGAACUUGAUCAUUUARAGGAAGUAAAAGUCGURACAAGA